UACGAAGGGGGGCUAGCGUUGUUCGGAAUUACUGGGCGUAAAGCGCACGCAGGCGGCUCGUUGAAUUAGAAGUGAAAGCCCUGGGCUCAACCCGGGAAUUGCUUUUAAGACUGGCGAGCUAGAGUCCGGAAGAGGGUAGUGGAAUUCCCAGUGUAGAGGUGAAAUUCGUAGAUAUUGGGAAGAACACCGGUGGCGAAGGCGGCUACCUGGUCCGGUACUGACGCUCAGGUGCGAAAGCGUGGGGAGCAAACAGG
rnacentral:rRNA from 1 species